UGUUGAAUCAAUAAAUGAACGAAUAAGUCACAACGUGAGCUGUUUUAUCUCACAAAGUAUUAAGGGAAUUAGUUAAUCAUUAUUGUUAUUAUUUUUGAGAUAGAGUCUUGAUGCAUCACCCAGGCUGGAGUGCAAUGGUGCAAUCAUAGCUCACUGCAACCUUGAACUCCUGGGCUCAAGCAAUCCUCCUGCCUCAGCCUCCUGAGUAGCUAGGA
rnacentral:lncRNA from 10 species